rnacentral:rRNA from 1 species
UGGGGAAUAUUGGACAAUGGGCGAAAGCCUGAUCCAGCCAUGCCGCGUGUGUGAAGAAGGUCUUCGGAUUGUAAAGCACUUUAAGUUGGGAGGAAGGGCAGUAAGCGAAUACCUUGCUGUUUUGACGUUACCGACAGAAUAAGCACCGGCUAACUCUGUGCCAGCAGCCGCGGUAAUACAGAGGGUGCAAGCGUUAAUCGGAAUUACUGGGCGUAAAGCGCGCGUAGGUGGUUCGUUAAGUUGAAUGUGAAAGCCCCGGGCUCAACCUGGGAACUGCAUUCAAAACUGGCGAGCUAGAGUAGGGCAGAUGGUGGUGGAAUUUCCUGUGUAGCGGUGAAAUGCGUAGAUAUAGGAAGGAACACCAGUGGCGAAGGCGACCACCUGGGCUCAUACUGACACUGAGGUGCGAAAGCGUGGGGAGCAAACAGG